rnacentral:tRNA from 1 species
CUAAGGAAUACGUCUCCUGCGACGGAGACAUACAAGAAGCAUAAGCUUCCAAUCGCUUCGUUCAUUUGUUCAGUUUUGGUGGAAUUCAUUUUGGGGCCAUAGCUCAGCUGGGAGAGCGCCUGCCUUGCAAGCAGGAGGUCAGGAGUUCGAUCCUCCUUGGCUCCACCAUAGAUUUCAUCUUUUUUGUACCUUGAAAACUGAAUCGCGAAAGUAAAGCUUAGAAUCAUCCUUUAAUUUUAAAUAGGAGUUAAAAAGUUUGCUUUUCAGCACCGAGAAGGUGAAGUAGAAGGAAACUUUUUGACCACCUAACUA